rnacentral:lncRNA from 1 species
GCUAUCUUAAGAAUAUCCUUUAUUCCUACUUGUUCUUUCAAAUUUGAUAUUUCAACAGCAGUGCAGGGUCAAAGUAGAAUUCAGAGAAGUGUAACGUAUCUUGCUGAGGUAACAGGUGUAUAAUGAAGAAUUUCUAAAGCUAGAAAAUACAAUAGAUGAAGAAUCAAUAAAAACUCUAAAGUUUAAUAUUUACACUGAAGGGGCAUUUAUUAAUAAAGUUGGAAAUAUGUCUUAAGCAGUUUUCCAAAUGCCUGGUUAAUAGCUGUUAGUUACUGAAAGCAUAUAUGGAGCACAGUUGAAAGAGUCCUUAAACUGCAGAGGAAGAAAAUGUAGGAGGAACAAGGAUGCCACUGGCAUCACCUUUCUUUAUAAGCAAACCCUAUUCAUUGUGGGUGCUCUGAAAGAUAUCUAUUUUCACCAGAUUGAUACACAAGUUUAAUGCAAUUCCUAC